UCGAAAAAUGUGCACGGUACCCGAGGCUCGCGUACAACGACGCUUUUUGAGAUCCUUUAAGAAGCGUUCUUUAAGCGAGACGGAUGCGUUCCAAGAUUAUUCAACCGGUGCUCCCGCGACGACCGAAACGCGGAACGUUGCUGCUGCACGACGAUCGCCCGGUAAAAGUAGAGAAAUGGGAACCUACCUUAAGGGUAUCCUGCAGGUUUUGUACUCUACAGUGCAUAUACACAUCGGCACCGAGCUGCACGGUAAUGUUGUUCUCCGAAUCUUCGAAAAAGGGCCUGGGCUCCGGUGUGCCACCGGUUUCCGUCGCGAUGCUUUCCACCUCGUAUACCUGUCGACAUGAUCAAUUAGUAUUCUUUUACCGAAGAAAACAAUUCGUAUCCUUCUCCGAGCUUUUCUGACACUCGAUAAUAGGAAAACGUAUAAAAAUGUACGAACAUCUGCAGUCGAAACUGGAAGACGAUGUUCCUGAAUUUAUGACAGAAGGUACAAAUAUUUCGCAUCGCAGAUGUUACAUAAACGUUUACGGCACUUUGUCAGCCAUCAAGCGAGAAGUAGAAACAGACGACGGAAAAGAGAGAGAGGGGGAGAGAGGGAGAGAGAAAGAAAAGGGAAAAAUGAAAAGACAGGAAGGGAAAUGAAGAGAGAGAGAUAACAGUUUUGUACAGCGUGCAGAGUGGAAACGGUGCAAAAGGUAUGGGCCGUAGCUUUUUCAAAAGACAUUUUAACUCCUUGUUCCAAUUAUGCAGCCGACUUACCUCGGUAAAAGGCGAACUGAGCUCAUGCCAGAACGACCUCGGCAGGUUUUCCAGUCCAGGAAACGGCUUAGCACCUGAAACAAUUUAGAACCAGAUUAUACCAUUCCUUGCCGAGGCUUUAUCACUCGUAUACAAUAGCGUAAUUAAACCUUGACCGCGAAUUUACUGGCAACCUUGUUACAACCAACGAAUAUAUUGGGUUGGCAACUAAGUGAUCGCGGAUUUUGUCGAUUGAUGGACUUUACACUUUCUUUUCUUUUGCUAACGCAGUCGAAGCAUCCAACCUAUAAUUUUUCCUUAUUGUUUGGACUUCUGCCUUUAAUUUAGUAAAAAUAUUAUAUCGAUUAGUGCUUUAGUUUUCUUUUUAUCCCAAUUAAAAAUGGAAGAACAGGACGUGCACUUCGGACAUAUUUUAUUGUGUUACUUCCGAAAUGGCAAGAACGCAUCGCAGGUACAAAAGAAGCUAUGUGCGGUAUAUGGAAAUGAAGCCUUGAAAGAAAGGCAGCGUGAAAAUUGCUUUGCCAGAUUUCGUUCUGCUGAUUUUUCACUGUGAAAAUGCUCAACGAUGUGGCCGUCCAGUUGAAGUCGAUGAGAUCCGUAUCAAAGCCAUUAUCGAUUCAAAUCGUCAUAGCACAACACGUGAUAUUGCGCAGAAGCUCAAUUUUAUCGCACACAUGCAUUGGAAAAUAAUUAAGAAUACUUGGUUAUGUUAAGAAACUCGAUUUAUGGAUCCCUCGCCAGCUCAAGGAAAUUCAUUUGACUGCGAUUCGCUUCUGAAACGCGACGGAACUGAUCCAUUUCUGAGAAGCCUAAUUACUGGCGACGAAAAGUGGAUAGUUUAUAACAACGUUAAUCGGAAGAUGAACAAGCCCGAACGACGUCAAAAGCAGAGAUUCACCAAAAAAAGAGAUUAUGCUGACAGUCUGAUGGGAUUAUAAAGGAAUUUUGUACUUAUGCCACAAAACCAAACGAUCAAUUCAAACGUGUACGUUCAACGACUCGCCAAACUGAGCGAUGCAAUUGAAGAAAAGCGGCCGGUAUUGUCGAAUCGUGAGGGUGUUGUUUUCCACCAUGAUAAUGCAAAGCCUUUGGCCACUCGCCAAAAAUUAUUGGAACUGGAUUGGGAUGUUUUGUCACAUCCAGCAUAUAGCCCUGAUCUUGCGCCUUCAGACUACCAUUUGCUUCGUUCCAUGCAGAACUCCUUAAAUGGUAAAAUUUUUAAUAACGCUGAUCAUGUCAGAUCACAUUUAAUUCGGUUCUUUGAUAGCAAAGAUCAGAAAUUUUUCGAACGUGGAAUUUUGACACUGCCAGAACGAUGGCAAAAGGUCAUCGACAAGAACGGUCAGUAUCUAACUGAACGAAGUUAUAUUUUUAAAGAAAAAUUUUGAAUUUUCCUUCUUAUUUGAAAUCCGCGAUCACUUAGUUGCCAACCCAAUAGAACGGUAUCAGAAAAGUUCGAAAGUUUCGUUUACCGUUUCUGCUGCGAGCACACCAAACUGCAGGGCAAAGAAUUUACGAUCCGUAUCGAUCCGAUACACGCACACGCAAUCGCGGGAAACAUUUUCGAAAGUCUAUUAAUGUUUCAUACGUUCGUUACAUCGAUUAUUAGUCUUUUGAGAAAUUCUUCGCAUAGACCACCCCGUCGGCCAAAGACACCCAACUAUGGAAUUUCAACUUUUUUACGUAGCAUUAUAUUGGUUUCCGAUAUAUUGUAAAAUCGGUUUUCUAUUCCGACAUUAACUUUCGUUCAAUGUUCCUUCGUAGUAUCGUUUUAGGAGCUGCAGCAAUUGUUGCUAAGAAACUUAUUCUAUUCUGUAUUAUAUGUUAAUGUGUCAAUAUAAUAUUAUUAAUGUUUA